rnacentral:rRNA from 1 species
UACAGAGGAUGCAAGCGUUGUUCGGAUUCACUGGGCGUAAAGGGUGCGUAGGCGGUCGGGUAAGUCUGACGUGAAAUCUCCAAGCCUAACUUGGAAACUGCGUUGGAUACUCGCCGGCUAGAGGAAUGGAGGGGAGACUGGAAUACUUGGUGUAGCAGUGAAAUGCGUAGAUAUCAAGUGGAACACCAGUGGCGAAGGCGAGUCUCUGGACAUUUCCUGACGCUGAGGCACGAAAGCCAGGGGAGCAAACGGG